rnacentral:rRNA from 1 species
GGGGAUAACGGAGAGAAAUUUCCGCUAAGACCGCAUAAGACCACAGCACCGCAUGGUGCAGGGGUAAAUAUUUAUAGGUAUAAGAUGGAUCCGCGUCCGAUUAGCUGGUUGGUGAGGUAGAGGCUCACCAAGGCGACGAUCGGUAGCCGGCCUGAGAGGGUGAACGGCCACAUUGGGACUGAGACACGGCCCAAACUCCUACGGGAGGCAGCAGUGGGGAAUAUUGGACAAUGGGGGAAACCCUGAUCCAGCGACGCCGCGUGAGUGAAGAAGUAUUUCGGUAUGUAAAGCUCUAUCAGCAGGGAAGAAAAUGACGGUACCUGACUAAGAAGCCCGGCUA